CCUACGGGUGGCAGCAGUGGGGAAUAUUGCACAAUGGGGGAAACCCUGAUGCAGCGACGCCGCGUGAGUGAAGAAGUAUUUCGGUAUGUAAAGCUCUAUCAGCAGGGAAGAAACUGACGGCACCUGACUAAGCAGCCUUGGCGAACUAGGUGCCAGCAGCCGCGGUAAUACGUAGGGGGCAAGCGUUAUCCGGAUUUACUGGGUGUAACGGGAGCGUAGACGGCGGUGCAAGCCAGAUGUGAAAGCCUGGGGCUCAACCCCGGGACUGCAUUUGGAACUGUGCUGCUAGAGUGUCGGAGAGGCAGGCGGAAUUCCUAGUGUAGCGGUGAAAUGCGUAGAUAUUAGGAGGAACACCAGUGGCGAAGGCGGCCUGCUGGACGAUGACUGACGUUGAGGCUCGAAAGCGUGGGGAGCAAACAGGAUUAGAUACCCUUGUAGUC
rnacentral:rRNA from 1 species